rnacentral:rRNA from 1 species
CGAGAUGGAAGUGCAGCGAUGUACGGAGUUGACGAAUACUAAUAGGUCGAGGACUUAACCAAA